GAAUAUUGGACAAUGGGCGAAAGCCUGAUCCAGCAAUGCCGCGUGAGUGAUGAAGGCCUUAGGGUUGUAAAGCUCUUUUACCCGGGAUGAUAAUGACAGUACCGGGAGAAUAAGCUCCGGCUAACUCCGUGCCAGCAGCCGCGGUAAUACGGAGGGAGCUAGCGUUGUUCGGAAUUACUGGGCGUAAAGCGCGCGUAGGCGGUUUUCCAAGUCAGGGGUGAAAGCCCGGGGCUCAACCCCGGAAUAGCCCUUGAAACUGGAAGACUAGAAUCUUGGAGAGGUCAGUGGAAUUCCGAGUGUAGAGGUGAAAUUCGUAGAUAUUCGGAAGAACACCAGUGGCGAAGGCGACUGACUGGACAAGUAUUGACGCUGAGGUGCGAAAGCGUGGGGAGCAAACAG
rnacentral:rRNA from 1 species